UUUGUCUUCGUUGAUCACUUAGAAGAGACUUUGCUGAUCCUAAGCAGGGGGCAAAAUAGCAUAUAAAAGAUCACUUGCGCUGGGGAAGUCAGUGGCCAUGUGGUGCCUUAAGGAGACUCAAGCAGCCCUAUGGAGAUGCCACAUGACGAAGAACUAAGGCCUCCUGCCAAAAGCCAGCAUCCACUUGCCAGUCAUGUGAGUGAGUCAUCUUGGAAACAGCUCCUCCAGCCUCAGUCAAGCUUCAGAGGCAUCCCUGGAUGACACCUUGACUGCAACCUGCAGGACCACCCGGCUGAGCAGCACCCAAAUUCCUGACCCCCAAAAAUUAGUGAGAGAAUCCACAGCCGUUUCGCUCAUCUUUGUGGACCCUGUUGCUGACUAUCAAGUGGGGCCAUUCUCUCCCUUUGGUUAGUCUUUCCUUCCCCAGCAGAUUCUCCAUUUCGUCUCUCUUGGACUUCUUUGCCUGGUAGCUGGGUUCCUUCUUGGCAUAUGUGGAAGGCCUCAUAAGACCUCGAU
rnacentral:lncRNA from 1 species